GCAUCAUAAUUUGGUUGGUAGAGCAUAAGACUUUUAAUCUCAGGGUUGUGGGUUCCAGCCCCACGUUGGGCA